CUAACUUUCUUAGUAAAAACCUUUUGGCUAAGAUCAAGUGUAGUAUCUGAUCUUAUCAGUUUAAUAUCUGAUACGUCCUCUAUCCAAGGACAAUUCAUUAAAUGGGUUUCUGGAGCAGGGAGUUGGAACAGGAGUUUGCUCCAUCCACUCCACGCACAGACCUGGUAUUGCAGUAUCUCCAGGAAGAGCGCACCCCUC
ensembl:snRNA U2 U2 spliceosomal RNA